AAGCCUGCGGCCUAGAGAGGAUAGGACACCAGCCUGCGGAGCUGGGGGUCCCGGGUUCAAGUCCCGGCGGGCCCA
rnacentral:tRNA from 1 species